GCCCAGCUGGGGUCUUUGGGUGAAAAGUGUCCUCAACCUCUUCAAAAGCAGAGGUGCAAAUGGUCCCCAGGCAGCGAGGCAGGCAAGGCUUCUAGGUGAAGCCCCCGGCCCCCAGAGAGGGGAACCUCUUCCUGUGAUGGGUACACCGGGAUGUUUAACCACUGGUUUUCUGGGAACGAGAUGCAAACCCUGGCUCAGCAUAGGGCCAAAGACGCUGACAAGAGGAUUUCUCACUGUGAGAGAAGUGAGCCACCAGAUAGAGAGGACACUCAAACAGCCCCAUGCAGAGGCCAAUAUAGAAAGGAUAAAAUAGCCAGCAUCAACUUACCGGCUUUGUAAGAGAGCCUUUAUAACUGAAUCCACUGCCCCGGUCAAGCCUUCAGAUGACUGCAGCUCUAGCCUACAUCUGGCUGCAAUCUCAGGUGUUCAGAUCAAGGGAAACUACUCUAAGAGGCUACACUUGAGGAACAACAACCAAGGAGCUUCAACUGCAUCUGGAUUUCAGGAGUCUGGAAAACUUUUCUUUUGAGCUAUUGACAGCCUUUAACAACUGAGUAAAGUGUACUCCUGUGAACAAAAUUCAGAGCCUGUUUGUUUCUCUCUACCUGAUUUCUCCAGAAUUUGGAAACUAUUUGUGAGUAUUCUUAACUUAUGGAAACAUAGUUAUUUGCAUAAGUGCAAUAAGAAUCUGUUUUCAUUUGUAACAGGACACAAUUGGAAAAACUGGUUAUUUUACCAAGGCUUUUACUGGAAUGGUGUGCUUUCUUUUAAGGAAUCAAACUUGACUUAUAGAGCCAAUAAAAGCCCCUUGGAAACACUGGCCUUAUACAUUGUCUACACAGUCUCUGUGUAGGGUUCCUAACCUGUGAGUAAAGAAUGUCACUUUUUAACAGUCCCAGGAGCCCCCAAGUUAUCUUGGGACCUGAAUAGGAAAGGAAUUUACCCAAUAAUAGAUAUUUGAGUGUACAAACCCAUGGCUGGGCUCAGCUUCAGAAAAAAGUCUUAUCUGAGAUUCCUUAUAGAACAGAGUUCCAUCAAAGCCAAUUUAAAAAGCCUAUGUGAAAAAUAAUUAUUCUUGCUGCACUUUGUAUGAAUAAUCAGGCCAAGUAUAAUAAAGUAAAUCAGUCUUACAGUGAUUUGUCUUUAGUAAAAAUGGGAAACUGGAGAGAGAAAAAAAUUGUUUCAAGAACUAUGGUACAACUGUUACUAGAUUCUAGUCUCAUUCACUGUUUUUGAAUUUUUUUCUGCAAUUUAGACUGACUCUUCUUAUUUCUGUUAACCAACCAGUGAUCUCUGGCUGCUGCUCAGAAGAACUAAGAAGGAUGGGUAAUAUAAAAUCCAGAUCAAUAUUCUUAUUCUGGGCACAUAUUGGAAUCAGCUAACAACCCCAUAUCAGUUUGGUUCCAACAAUUGCCCAGUUCAUGGAAAGCCUCUAAUUUUGUUUAUUUGGGAUGAUUUUGCUUAUUUUGCUUUACUAUUGUGGAAUAUAUUGCUGUUGUACUCUUUGUGUAGGAAUGCAGGAUAUGCUUGCUGAAUGUUUUCUUAAAUUGAACCCUUAUUCCUCUUCCAGGUACCAUCUUUUGUUGGAACUCAGUUACAAAUAACCCUCACCAUACCAGCACUUUCUGAAUGAGCUCCUCUCUACCCUGAAGGCAAAAGACCCAAUAGUUAGGCUGGAAUAUUAUCACCCCUAUUCAGCCUGAAGAAGUUACAGAAAAUGGAUCUUCAUCUGUCUACAACCCUUAGGAUUAAGUGUUCUCUUAUAAUAGGGAGGGGGGAAUUGUCAGAGGCAUUUGAAUCAAAGCAACUCCAUUUCACACAGGGGCUAAGUGAAAUAAGGCUAAGACCUACUAGGCUGCAUUCCCAGGAGGUUAAGACAUUCUAAGUCACAGGAUGAGACAGGAGAGCGGCAUAAGAUGCAGGUCAGAAAGAUCUUGUGGAUAAAACAGGUUGCAGUAAAGAAGCCAGCCAAAACAUCAAAACCAAGAUGGCGACAAAAGUGACUUCUGGUCGUCUGCACUGCUACAUUCCCGCCAGCACCACGGCAGUUUACAAAUGCCAUGGCAAUGUCAGGAGGUUGCCCUACAUGUUCUAAAAUGGGGAGGAACCCUCAGUUCCAGGAAUUGCCCACCCCUUUCCUGGAAAACUCAUGAAUAAUCCACCCUUUGUUUAGCAUAUAAACAAGAAAUAACCAUAAAAAUGGGCAACUAGGUGUGCACCACUGCUCUUCUUAUGGAGUAGCCAUUCUUUCAUUCCUUUACUUUCAUAAUAAACUUGCUUUCACUUAAAAAAAAACUUGACCCUUACCUUAUGCCAUGUAUAAAAAUUAACUCACAAUGAAUCAGGAGGUAUUCCUUUUUCCUGACUGCCUUUGAACUGGGACAUCAUUUUUUUCCCUGUCUUCAGACUUGAACUGAAACAUCAGCUUUUCUUGAGUCUCAACCUGCUGUUCUUUGGACUAGAACUGCACCAUUGGCUCUCUUGGGUUUCCAGCUUAACAACUGUAGAUCUUGGAACUUGGCAGCUUUCAUAAAUACAUGAGUUAAUUUCUUAAAAUAAAUAUAUUCAUAUGUAUGUAUAUAAAAUACAUAUCUAUCUAUCUAUCUAUCUAUCUAUCUAUCUA
ensembl:lncRNA novel transcript, antisense to ZNF365